CCCUUAGAUGUUCUGGGCGGCCCGCGCACUACAUUGGCACUGGCAACAAGAUCCUAGAUCUGGUAUUUCGGGGUAUUCUACCAACUGGUGUCGUGACUGGGAUUAACCCCUGCAAUUAUUGGUUAUGAACGAGGAAUUCCUUGUAAUCACGGUUUAUCAACCCGUGUUGAAUGCGUCCCUGCCCUUUGUACACACCGCCCGUCGCUCCUACCGAUGAAUCGUCCGGUGAAGUUCAUGGAGUCGCGGCUGCUCCAGCUGUUUUCGAAGUGAAAUGGACCUCAUGAUUUAGAGGAAGGAGAANUCGUANCA
rnacentral:rRNA from 1 species